rnacentral:lncRNA from 1 species
UUUGGAGACCAAAACUAGAAAGAUAACUGGGCUAUGAGGACAGUCAAUAUCUUGGCCCCAGCCUCUCAAGGUCAACAAAGAUCCAGGACAUGAGGGAACCUUCUCUGCAGGGUCCUACAUCUUUGAAACACAUGAGGACAUUUACCAACCAGACAGUCAUGGAGCUCAUCAUGGUGGGGUACCAGCCACUGUGGCAGAGGGAAAAGCCCCCACCUACCGCUGGCCACAUCAGAUCCAGGUUUACCCCUACCCUUUGCCCAUUUGUCAGCUUGAAACAGCUCCAGAAGAAGAGACCUUCACCCAACAACCAUAAAACAAGAGCCUGGAAUGAUAGAUUUCCCUCCAAUUUAAGGUGGCUGCUGUAUAUAAUACCUACCUUCUUUCCAACAUGCCCCUACUCCCACCAAAAGAGUAACCUAAUACUUGCUCUCCUCCUAGCAACUAGUGACAUCACAGGCUCCUCCAGUCCCUAGUCGCUACCUCACUCAACUCCACCUCAGCUCCUACAAGCCCCACCCCCACUCCUAUAAAAGGCACUUCCUGUCCUGGCCAUAUUGCUUUUGUCUCUCCUUUGUUCAGAGAAGACAGCCCAGCAGAUCUGUUCCCCUAAUAAAGGCUUGUUGUGGCCUGGUCUGGUCUUGGUUUUCGGCCUUUUACCUGACACUUAGGACAGCUAAUUUUAGCCUCAAUUACUGUGUCCAGUUCUCUCAAAACUCCUCUACUG